AUAGAAAUUUCAUGAACCCAUGACCCAGCCUCCAAGGCAGCCUCGGUGGCAGUGAUCUGCCUCAACUACCAGCAAGGGACACCCCACAAGGUAUUUCUGAGGGAGACAGUCAAACAAACCAGCACGGAGGAUAUCCCAGGAAAAGGACAUAAGUAUCACCUCAAAUGUUCUGUGGAAUAAGUUAUUCUAAAACAAAUUGCAGUGAACUGCAUAGCUGAAUCGCCUUACCCUGCAGUGGGACAAGAUACUGUACCAGAAAUCAACAUCACAUGUGAAGGAGAAAUGGAAAGAGCCCAGAUAAAGAAAACAACACAUCUGAUCAAAAACUCAAGUCCAUGAAGGAAUCACUAGAAGCACAAAAUAUUCCAGACAUUUUGAGAAAUGUAUCUCCAAAACAUGAAGCCAGGUCAACAUUUAGCCUGGGUUGCCUGUGGUUAUGUAACAUGGCAAAAUUCUGGUGAAAACACGUGAUAUAAAAGUGGUAAAAAUUAAACUGUCAAGGAAAUGCAAAAAAAUGAUGACUUUAUCGAAUAGACUAUACCAUUCCACUUCAUGACAUUGCAUCCCAGGAGAUUGAUUCCUUGGCAAAUGCAAGUUCUUUGGCACUGACAAGAUGGUGCUGAGGUAAAAUGUAAUCGCUGUCUGCCAAGGGAAGUACAAGCGGAA
rnacentral:lncRNA from 1 species